rnacentral:rRNA from 1 species
UACGGAGGGGGCGAGCGUUGUCCGAAGUUACUGGGCGUAAAGCGCGCGUAGGCGGGGAGGCAAGUCCGCUGUGAAAGCCCGAGGCUCAACCUCGGCGGGUCGGUGGAUACUGCCUCUCUUGAAGGUGCUAGGGGGAGAUGGAAUUACCGGUGUAGCGGUGAAAUGCGUAGAUAUCGGUAGGAACACCAGUGGCGAAGGCGGUCUCCUGGGGCAUUCUUGACGCUGAGGCGCGAAAGCUGGGGGAGCGAAC